AUGUACGAGCGCGCGCGGGGCGCCGACUCGCCGUGGCACGACUACCUCCGCCUGAUCCCGGACUGCGAGCCCGUGCCGCUCGUCUGGCCCGAGGACGAGGCCGCGCGCCUCCUCGCCGGCACCGAGCUCGAUAAGACAGUGAAGCAAGACAGGGAAUUCCUUUGUGAGGAUUGGAAAGAAUGUAUUGAGCCACUCAUUUCUUCUGGAGAAUUGGGGGUCAAGCCAGAUGAUCUUAGCCUGGAGAAAUAUUUUGCGGCUAAAAGUCUUCUUUCAUCAAGGUCCUUCCGUAUAGAUAAAUAUCAUGGUUCUGGAAUGGUUCCCCUGGCUGACCUUUUUAAUCACAAGACUGAUGGCGAACAUGUUCACUUCACUAAGUCAGACGCCUCAGACUCUGAUGAGGAAGAAGAUGGUGAUGAUCAAAGCAAUACGGACUUACAUGAAGAAGGUGACGAUGAUCAAAACAAUGUAGAAUUAGUUGAAGAAGAAGAUGGCGAUGAUCAAAGCAAUGCUUCUGCUGAUGAACAGUCAACUGUUGAAAAUUCCACCGCCAAUCCUUCAGGUGAAGGAUCUAAUGAUGAAGAUUUGGAAAUGAUUAUUGUGAGAGAAGCCAAUCCAGGGGAUGAGGUUUAUAAUACAUAUGGUACCAUGGGAAAUGCUGCUUUGCUUCAUCGGUAUGGUUUUACAGAACUUGACAACCCCUAUGACAUUGUCAACAUCGACUUAACACUGGUCACUAAGUGGUGCUCAUCCAAGUACUCCCAUCGAUAUGCAAAAGCAAGGGUAUCAUUAUGGCAUAUGCUAGGCUAUUCAGGCUGCACCAGCGAAGAUGCCGAGUACUUUGAGAUCUCAUAUGAUGGAGAGCCCCAGCUUGAACUUCUAAUCCUCCUUUACAUCAUCUUCUUGGAGCCUGAAGUUUAUGACAAGUUGGUCUGUGUAUCUGAGGAUCUGGUUGGUGAUGAUGACCAGGACGAUGAGCAGGAUACCAUCGACAGUUUUGCUAAGGUUGUCAAAGUAACAAGACCCGCCAAAAAUGGGGUCGAAAAACUGCCUGAUGUGAAGAAGCUACUGCAGAGUGAGGGCAUUGGCUCUGCACUUGCAUCCAUUGCUGACAUUAGGGAGAGCCUCUAUGGUUCCAGCACUCUAAAAGAUGACGAGGAGAAGCUCCGAGCAUGCUCUCCCGUCGGCGAAAGGAGCAUUUACCAUUCUCUGGUGUUGCGUGUGAGUGAGAGGAAGAUACUUGGCAGAUUGAGGAAACAUGCCUCUAGUUGGCCAAAGACCAAGAAGAGGAAGCAUACCUAG
rnacentral:rRNA from 1 species